rnacentral:rRNA from 1 species
UUGAACGCUGGCGGCAUGCUUUACACAUGCAAGUCGAACGGCAGCGGGGGCUUCGGCCUGCCGGCGAGUGGCGAACGGGUGAGUAAUGCAUCGGAACGUACCCAGUCGUGGGGGAUAACUACGCGAAAGCGUAGCUAAUACCGCAUACGCCCUGAGGGGGAAAGCGGGGGACCUUCGGGCCUCGCGCGAUUGGAGCGGCUGAUGUCGGAUUAGCUAGUUGGUGGGGUAAAGGCCUACCAAGGCGACGAUCCGUAGCUGGUCUGAGAGGAUGAUCAGCCACACUGGGACUGAGACACGGCCCAGACUCCUACGGGAGGCAGCAGUGGGGAAUUUUGGACAAUGGGGGCAACCCUGAUCCAGCCAUGCCGCGUGAGUGAAGAAGGCCUUCGGGUUGUAAAGCUCUUUCGGACGGAAAGAAACGGUCACGGCCAAUACCCGUGGCUAAUGACGGUACCGUCAGAAGAAGCACCGGCUAACUACGU